UCGGUUCAACCAGGAUCACCGCGAGGAUGCAAACAACGCCCACGUCCAAGAGAGGAACCAGAUAGCCUUUGAUUUCCUUUGCUUCAUCGCCAACUACCGACACACCAACCCACACCACAA
rnacentral:ribozyme from 1 species